rnacentral:rRNA from 1 species
GACGAACGCUGGCGGCGUGCUUAACACAUGCAAUUCGAACGGAAAGGCCCUGCUUUUGUGGGGUGCUCGAGUGGCGAACGGGUGAGUAACACGUGAGUAACCUGCCCUUGACUUUGGGAUAACUUCAGGAAACUGGGGCUAAUACCGGAUAGGAGCUCCUGCUGCAUGGUGGGGGUUGGAAAGUUUCGGCGGUUGUGGAUGGACUCGCGGCUUAUCAGCUUGUUUGUGGGGUAGUGGCUUACCAAGGCUUUGACGGGUAGCCGGCCUGAGAGGGUGACCGGCCACAUUGGGACUGAGAUACGGCCCAGACUCCUACGGGAGGCAGCAGUGGGGAAUAUUGCACAAUGGGCGGAAGACUGAUGCAGCAACGCCGCGUGCGGGAUGACGGCCUUCGGGUUGUAAACCGCUUUCGCCGGUGACGAAGCGUGAGUGACGGUAAUGGGUAAAGAAGCACCGGCUAACUACGUG